rnacentral:rRNA from 1 species
AUGGACGUCGAGGACUUCCUCGCCGCCGACCAGCUGCCGCAUGAUCCCGCCACCAUGAAGGGGUACAAGUACCUCUUCCACGGCGAGGAGGCCAUCCAGCAGCAGCUGAGCCACCAACCCCGUUCUUCCCAGGACGAGAUACUCAUGACGACGGUGAAGGGGGUCGUGACGAUCGAUCAAGUUUACCGGUGGAUCGAUCGCCAGGCAUACAGCGACGCCGAGAAGGACAUGGCCAAGGACUUCUGCCUGGCCUUCUCCCUGUUCAAGCUGCUGAAGCGGCGGUUCUUCGGGUACAUCCCCGCGGAAGCCGGCUCGCCCAAGUCGCUGGACCUGGUCCUGACCGGCCUCAUCCACCACGCCGUCACCGGCCCUGACGCCGCCUUCCGGGUCGUCGAAGCGGAGCUCGCCUUCCUGUACGACUUCUUCUACACCAGGAACAUCCUCCCGGUGGGGGUCAGGACCUACAUCUUCAUCGCCGUCGUCAUGCUCAGCCUCACCAUGUGGACGGCCUUCGUCGGCACUCUUGGCCCCGGCUACAGCCGUCCUCACGUCGGCGUGAAGGACCUGGACCGCUCCGUCACGGUGGUGCUCGUGGUGAUCACGGCGGGGCUCGAGGUCUGCCAGGCGCUGGCCGCCUUCUCCAACAGCUGGCGGUACGUCAUGACCGUGUACCGCUGCGUGCGCGACGACCGGCCCUGGACCAAGCACCGGUACGGCCACCUCUGGUGCUGGAAACAGAACAUCACUCCGCCGGAGACGACCUACUGGGAGCAGAAGAUCGGCCAGUACGUGCUCCUGCACUGGUACGACCACCGGCCGUGGAACGUGCGGUCGUGGAUCACGCUCUACCUGGUCGAACCACGGCGGCAGGGCCAGAAGAAAGGCAGCAGAAAGGCUCUGCCUCAGCAGGUGAAGCGAGCCGUCCUCGCCUCGCUCAAGGCCAGCCGCGGCGAGCUCACCAAUGGCGUCGCCACCGUGCAGAGGCACGGCCUGUCGCAGCAGCUGGCAUGGGCGUGCAGGUUACCCAAGGUCACCGACCAGAUCCUGGUGUGGCACGUCGUCACCACUCGCUUCAAGUGGAUUAGCGGCCGUGGUGGUGAUACUGUCGACGACCACAGGCUCGUGGCGAGGAAGCUGUCCAACUACUGCGCCUACCUGGUGGCCUUCGUGCCGGAGAUGCUACCGGACCCGAGCUACAACGCCGAGCAGAUCUUCGACACGGCGGUGCGGCAGGCUCGGGUCCACCUCGACGGCUGUCGGACCAAGGCCGAUAUCCUGGACCGGCUAGAUAAGAUACAGUGCAAGGAGGAGAAUUACUUGGAGGGUGGCAGCCUGUACGAGAGAGCCGGCAGCAGCAGCAUCAUAGAGAAGGCGGCGGUGCUCGGCGGGCAGCUCAUGGCGUCCGUGCCGGACGAAGGGCGGCGGUGGAAGGUGCUGGCCGAGUUCUGGGCCGAGUUCAUACUGUUCCUCGCCCCGUCGGACAACGUGGACAUCCACGCUGAGAUGCUCGGUGCGGGCGGAGAGUUAAUGACGCAGCUAUGGGCGCUGCUCUCCCACGCCGGAAUCUUGGAGCGGACGCCGUCGGCACCAAGGACCUGA